rnacentral:rRNA from 1 species
CAUUUAAAGUGGUACGCGAGCUGGGUUUAGAACGUCGUGAGACAGUUCGGUCCCUAUCUGCCGUGGGCGCUGGAGAACUGAGGGGGGCUGCUCCUAGUACGAGAGGACCGGAGUGGACGCAUCACUGGUGUUCGGGUUGUCAUGCCAAUGGCACUGCCCGGUAGCUAAAUGCGGAAGAGAUAAGUGCUGAAAGCAUCUAAGCACGAAACUUGCCCCGAGAUGAGUUCUCCCUGACCCUUUAAGGGUCCUGAAGGAACGUUGAAGACGACGACGUUGAUAGGCCGGGUGUGUAAGCGCAGCGAUGCGUUGAGCUAACCAGUACUAAUGAACCGUGAGGCUUAACCUU